rnacentral:rRNA from 1 species
UUAAGCGACUAAGCGUACACGGUGGAUGCCCUGGCAGUCAGAGGCGAUGAAGGACGUGCUAAUCUGCGAUAAGCGUCGGUGAGGUGAUAUGAACCGUUAUAACCGGCGAUUUCCGAAUGGGGAAACCCAGUGUGUUUCGACACACUAUCAUUAACUGAAUCCAUAGGUUAAUGAGGCGAACCGGGGGAACUGAAACAUCUAAGUACCCCGAGGAAAAGAAAUCAACCGAGAUUCCCCCAGUAGCGGCGAGCGAACGGGGAGGAGCCCAGAGCCUGAAUCAGUGUGUGUGUUAGUGGAAGCGUCUGGAAAGGCGUGCGAUACAGGGUGACAGCCCCGUACACAAAAAUGCACAUAUUGUGAGCUCGAUGAGUAGGGCGGGACACGUGGUAUCCUGUCUGAAUAUGGGGGGACCAUCCUCCAAGGCUAAAUACUCCUGACUGACCGAUAGUGAACCAGUACCGUGAGGGAAAGGCGAAAAGAACCCCGGCGAGGGGAGUGAAAAAGAACCUGAAACCGUGUACGUACAAGCAGUGGGAGCCUCUUAAUGGGGUGACUGCGUACCUUUUGUAUAAUGGGUCAGCGACUUAUAUUCUGUAGCAAGGUUAACCGAAUAGGGGAGCCGAAGGGAAACCGAGUCUUAACUGGGCGUUAAGUUGCAGGGUAUAGACCCGAAACCCGGUGAUCUAGCCAUGGGCAGGUUGAAGGUUGGGUAACACUAACUGGAGGACCGAACCGACUAAUGUUGAAAAAUUAGCGGAUGACUUGUGGCUGGGGGUGAAAGGCCAAUCAAACCGGGAGAUAGCUGGUUCUCCCCGAAAGCUAUUUAGGUAGCGCCUCGUGAAUUCAUCUCCGGGGGUAGAGCACUGUUUCGGCAAGGGGGUCAUCCCGACUUACCAACCCGAUGCAAACUGCGAAUACCGGAGAAUGUUAUCACGGGAGACACACGGCGGGUGCUAACGUCCGUCGUGAAGAGGGAAACAACCCAGACCGCCAGCUAAGGUCCCAAAGUCAUGGUUAAGUGGGAAACGAUGUGGGAAGGCCCAGACAGCCAGGAUGUUGGCUUAGAAGCAGCCAUCAUUUAAAGAAAGCGUAAUAGCUCACUGGUCGAGUCGGCCUGCGCGGAAGAUGUAACGGGGCUAAACCAUGCACCGAAGCUGCGGCAGCGACACUAUGUGUUGUUGGGUAGGGGAGCGUUCUGUAAGCCUGUGAAGGUGGCCUGUGAGGGUUGCUGGAGGUAUCAGAAGUGCGAAUGCUGACAUAAGUAACGAUAAAGCGGGUGAAAAGCCCGCUCGCCGGAAGACCAAGGGUUCCUGUCCAACGUUAAUCGGGGCAGGGUGAGUCGACCCCUAAGGCGAGGCCGAAAGGCGUAGUCGAUGGGAAACAGGUUAAUAUUCCUGUACUUGGUGUUACUGCGAAGGGGGGACGGAGAAGGCUAUGUUGGCCGGGCGACGGUUGUCCCGGUUUAAGCGUGUAGGCUGGUUUUCCAGGCAAAUCCGGAAAACCAAGGCUGAGGCGUGAUGACGAGGCACUACGGUGCUGAAGCGACAAAUGCCCUGCUUCCAGGAAAAGCCUCUAAGCAUCAGGUAACAUCAAAUCGUACCCCAAACCGACACAGGUGGUCAGGUAGAGAAUACCAAGGCGCUUGAGAGAACUCGGGUGAAGGAACUAGGCAAAAUGGUGCCGUAACUUCGGGAGAAGGCACGCUGAUAUGUAGGUGAAGCGACUUGCUCGUGGAGCUGAAAUCAGUCGAAGAUACCAGCUGGCUGCAACUGUUUAUUAAAAACACAGCACUGUGCAAACACGAAAGUGGACGUAUACGGUGUGACGCCUGCCCGGUGCCGGAAGGUUAAUUGAUGGGGUUAGCGGCAACGCGAAGCUCUUGAUCGAAGCCCCGGUAAACGGCGGCCGUAACUAUAACGGUCCUAAGGUAGCGAAAUUCCUUGUCGGGUAAGUUCCGACCUGCACGAAUGGCGUAAUGAUGGCCAGGCUGUCUCCACCCGAGACUCAGUGAAAUUGAACUCGCUGUGAAGAUGCAGUGUACCCGCGGCAAGACGGAAAGACCCCGUGAACCUUUACUAUAGCUUGACACUGAACAUUGAGCCUUGAUGUGUAGGAUAGGUGGGAGGCUUUGAAGUGUGGACGCCAGUCUGCAUGGAGCCGACCUUGAAAUACCACCCUUUAAUGUUUGAUGUUCUAACGUUGGCCCGUAAUCCGGGUUGCGGACAGUGUCUGGUGGGUAGUUUGACUGGGGCGGUCUCCUCCUAAAGAGUAACGGAGGAGCACGAAGGUUGGCUAAUCCUGGUCGGACAUCAGGAGGUUAGUGCAAUGGCAUAAGCCAGCUUGACUGCGAGCGUGACGGCGCGAGCAGGUGCGAAAGCAGGUCAUAGUGAUCCGGUGGUUCUGAAUGGAAGGGCCAUCGCUCAACGGAUAAAAGGUACUCCGGGGAUAACAGGCUGAUACCGCCCAAGAGUUCAUAUCGACGGCGGUGUUUGGCACCUCGAUGUCGGCUCAUCACAUCCUGGGGCUGAAGUAGGUCCCAAGGGUAUGGCUGUUCGCCAUUUAAAGUGGUACGCGAGCUGGGUUUAGAACGUCGUGAGACAGUUCGGUCCCUAUCUGCCGUGGGCGCUGGAGAACUGAGGGGGGCUGCUCCUAGUACGAGAGGACCGGAGUGGACGCAUCACUGGUGUUCGGGUUGUCAUGCCAAUGGCACUGCCCGGUAGCUAAAUGCGGAAGAGAUAAGUGCUGAAAGCAUCUAAGCACGAAACUUGCCCCGAGAUGAGUUCUCCCUGACUCCUUGAGGGUCCUGAAGGAACGUUGAAGACGACGACGUUGAUAGGCCGGGUGUGUAAGCGCAGCGAUGCGUUGAGCUAACCGGUACUAAUGAACCGUGAGGCUUAACCU